CCUACGGGGGGCAGCAGUCGAGAAUCAUUCACAAUGGGGGAAACCCUGAUGGUGCGACGCCGCGUGGGGGAAUGAAGGUCUUCGGAUUGUAAACCCCUGUCAUGUGGGAGCAAAUUAAAAAGAAAGUACCACAAGAGGAAGAGACGGCUAACUCGGUGCCAGCAGCCGCGGUAAUACAGAGGUCUCAAGCGUUGUUCGGAAUCACUGGGCGUAAGGCGUGCGUAGGCUGUUUCGUAAGUCGGGUGUGAAAGGCGCGGGCUCAACCCGCGGACGGCACAUGAUACUGCGAGACUAGAGUAAUGGAGGGGGAACCGGAAUUCUCGGUGUAGCAGUGAAAUGCGUAGAUAUCGAGAGGAACACUCGUGGCGAAGGCGGGUUCCUGGACAUUAACUGACGCUGAGGCACGAAGGCCAGGGGAGCGAAAGGGAUUAGAUACCCCUGUAGUC
rnacentral:rRNA from 1 species